rnacentral:rRNA from 1 species
AGUGAACGCUGGCGGUAGGCCUAACACAUGCAAGUCGAACGGCAGCACAGUAAGAGCUUGCUCUUACGGGUGGCGAGUGGCGGACGGGUGAGGAAUACAUCGGAAUCUACUUUUUCGUGGGGGAUAACGUAGGGAAACUUACGCUAAUACCGCAUACGACCUACGGGUGAAAACAGGGGAUCUUCGGACCUUGCGCGAUUGAAUGAGCCGAUGUCGGAUUAGCUAGUUGGCGGGGUAAGGGCCCACCAAGGCGACGAUCCGUAGCUGGUCUGAGAGGAUGAUCAGCCACACUGGAACUGAGACACGGUCCAGACUCCUACGGGAGGCAGCAGUGGGGAAUAUUGGACAAUGGGCGCAAGCCUGAUCCAGCCAUACCGCGUGGGUGAAGAAGGCCUUCGGGUUGUAAAGCCCUUUUGUUGGGAAAGAAAAGCAGCAGGUUAAUACCCCGCUGUUCUGACGGUACCCAAAGAAUAAGCACCGGCUAACUUCGUG